rnacentral:misc_RNA from 1 species
AACGCACAUUGCGCCCGCCAGUAUUCUGGCGGGCAUGCCUGUUCGAGCGUCAUUUCAACCAUCAAGCCCCCGGCUUGUGUUGGGGACCUGCGGCUGCCGCAGGCCCUGAAAACCAGUGGCGGGCUCGCUGUCACCCCGAGCGUAGUAGUUACAUCUCGCUCUGGGCGUGCUGCGGGUUCCGGCCGUUAAAAGCCUUAUUUACCCAAGGUUGACCUCGGAUCAGGUAGGAAGACCCGCUGAACUUAA